CAAGCACUUUAUCUAUUAUUAGUAUCAGCAACAUCUUGCCAAUCUUCACCUCUUCCAUUCUGCAAAUAUCACAUUGCUGAUGUAUUAGGUAUUACAUGACAGUAUUUAAAGUGUGUGGAGUGAGGAGACCAGUGUGUUAUCAACCACCAUAAUGUGAAAGAUUAGCACAAGCCUCUUCCCACCUGUUUUCACUUUUCUUUUCAUAAAGUCCGCAGCUGCUGCACCAAACAAGCUCUUAUUUUCCUUGACCGAGUUCACAAGGAUGCAUUGGGAGAUUCUGUCAUGUCCUUAUGGUCAUCAUGCAAACACACAUAGCUGAUGGCUUUAGAGUCAGAGCAGAACUGCAGAGCUGAAUGUCAUGUACUGAGCGGUUCAUCAGAAGAGCUGCUUUUCUACUUCUCUUUGUUCCCUCUCAAUCAAGCCUGAUUUAAGAGUCAGUUAAAUGUACGAAAUUGGUAGCAGGCUUUUAUUUCUCCCUCCCUCACUUCUUUCAUUCAAUAAGGUUCAAUUUGAAAAUGGUCUGGUUUGUAUCCUUAAUAUAUGAACGUGCAGGUGCUUCUAAUCACAGAGGCAGUGCACACACUCUUUGACAAUGUGAAAUAUCGCGAUUUAUCGCUUGCAUUUGCGUGAUGUUUUCCAGCGUUGAUUGCCUGGACGUGUGAUUUCACAGGGCCACGUCUCCAUCUGUACCAUUUUCUCUAAGUAUCGAACAUUUUCAUCUUUCUUCAAUACAAGCUAAUUGGAUUAAGUUUGAGCAAUUUUCAUAUUGCCGCGCAUUGUGCCUCUGCGUGUACGGCUGCCAGGCAGCUCUGUUUUAUAGCUCCGGCGCGCGCUGUCAGCCCCGUGUUCCUGCCGUCAUCAAGGCGCUAAGGACCACAUCAACCAUCUUCGCUCAUUCUCAGCAAGCCUGCUGGGUUUUCCCCCGCAAGAAAACCAACCAAUUCUCUGUGGAAUCGUGCUAAAUUAACCAAAUUUACAGCUUAGCACUUAAGGAUCUCCUUAGUUGGCUGUGUGACCACCGCUGCUGUGACAUAUGUACAAAACACCUGUCGCAUGUUUCUGGGCCCCAUUGUUCGUGGUGAGCUGCUGCUGGGUCUCACACAACCUGUUCCUGGAACAUCAACCCUCAGUACGAGUCAGAUCCAGCCCUGAUUAUAUGCAGGAUGCCAGCUGGCAGACAGAUGGUGGUGGCUUUACACGAUUUUAUUUAAAGACACAUCAGAAGGAA